rnacentral:misc_RNA from 1 species
GGACUACAAGGGUUUCUAAUCCUGUUUGAUCCCCACGCUUUCGUGCCUCAGUGUCAAUAAUUGUGUAGCAAGCUGCCUUCGCUAUCGGUGUUCUAUGUCAUAUCUAAGCAUUUCACCGCUACAUGACAUAUUCCGCUUACCUCCACAACAUUCAAGACUAAUAGUAUCCACGGCAGUUUCCGAGUUAAGCUCAGAGAUUUCACCACGGACUUACUAGCCCACCUACGCACCCUUUAAACCCAGUGAAUCCGGAUAACGCUUGCACCCUCCGUAUUACCGCGGCGGCUGGCAC